AAAUUCAUUGCCGCUGAAAGAAAGCUACAGAUAUGGAUAGGGAUAAAUGUACAUACUUUAUUCAGCUUUUGAUAGUGUUCGGUUGUAGUUGCCUAGUACUGACAGAUGCACAGCCGCUACAACAAUGCGAAAAGUCGUGCACCAGUGAUGCGACAUGCCCACAAUACAAAUGUGUUUAUAAUGAUCAUUAUGGAAGAAAAACGUGCCAGUCAAUGUGUGGAGGAGGAGGGUAGGAGUGGGAGAUUGGUGGAAUGUGAGGAUUUUUUGAGGAGGGAAAUAACUGUAAAUAACACAGUGACAAGAUAACAAAUAGAUUAUCAUUUGAACAUGUUCAGGUUCGUUUUUAACUCCACAAUA